CUACGGGCCGCUCCAGUGGGGAAUAUUGGACAAUGGGCGAAAGCCUGAUCCAGCAAUGCCGCGUGUGUGAAGAAGGCCUGAGGGUUGUAAAGCACUUUCAGUAGUGAGGAAAUGUUUAAGGUUAAUACCCUUGAAUCUUGACGUUAACUACAGAAGAAGCACCGGCUAACUCCGUGCCAGCAGCCGCGGUAAUACGGAGGGUGCAAGCGUUAAUCGGAAUUACUGGGCGUAAAGCGCGCGUAGGCGGUUUGGUCAGUCAGAUGUGAAAGCCCCGGGCUCAACCUGGGAAUUGCAUUUGAUACUGCUAAACUAGAAUGUGGUAGAGGGAAGUGGAAUUCCAGGUGUAGCGGUGAAAUGCGUAGAGAUCUGGAGGAACAUCAGUGGCGAAGGCGGCUUCCUGGACCAACAUUGACGCUGAGGUGCGAAAGCGUGGGUAGCAAACAGGAUUAGAUACCCUCGUAGUC
rnacentral:rRNA from 1 species